CGUUGAACCGCGAGAGGGCGACGCCGAGGGGAAAUCGAACGAGAAGGGUGACACAGUGGAUAUGAUAAAAAGGUGGACGGAGAAUCGGAAAGCUGAAGAAUCUAAGCAAGUAGACCAGUCAGCUGAGGGCAGAGAAGUGAGGGAAUAUUACAGCUACUCUUACGGACAAACGCAGAAACCUCAGGGUCAACACAACCGCGCCUCUUGGACUGAAGUUCCACCAGCUCAAUGGAACGAGCCUGAUCAAGAAACUCCUGUUAAGG